UACGUAGGUGACAAGCGUUAUCCGGAAUUACUGGGCGUAAGGCGCACGCAGGCGGCGCGGUAAGUCUGAUGUGAAAUCUCCCGGCUUAACUGGGAGGGGUCAUUGGAAACUGCCGAGCUUGAGGCGAUGAGAGGGUAGCAGAAUUCAUGGUGUAGCAGUGAAAUGCGUAGAUAUCAUGAGGAAUACCAGAGGCGAAGGCGGCUACCUGGACAAUUGCUGACGCUCAGGCACGAAAGCGUGGGGAGCAAAAGGG
rnacentral:rRNA from 1 species